AUUGAACGCUGGCGGCAUGCCUUACACAUGCAAGUCGAACGGUAACAGGUUAAGCUGACGAGUGGCGAACGGGUGAGUAAUGUAUCGGAACGUGCCCAGUCGUGGGGGAUAACUACUCGAAAGAGUGGCUAAUACCGCAUACGACCUGAGGGUGAAAGCGGGGGACCGUAAGGCCUCGCGCGAUUGGAGCGGCCGAUAUCAGAUUAGCUAGUUGGUGGGGUAAAAGCCCACCAAGGCGACGAACUGUAGCUGGUCUGAGAGGACGACCAGCCACACUGGGACUGAGACAAGGCCCAGACUCCUACGGGAGGCAGCAGUGGGGAUUUUUGGACAAUGGACGCAAGUCUGAUCCAGCCAUGCCGCGUGCGGGAAGAAGGCCUUCGGGUUGUAAACCGCUUUUGUCAGGGAAGAAACGAGUUUCUCUAAUACAGAGACUUAAUGACGGUACCUGAAGAAUAAGCACCGGCUAACUACGUGCCAGCCGCCGCCGUAAAAC
rnacentral:rRNA from 1 species